rnacentral:rRNA from 1 species
GACGAACGCUGGCGGCGUGCUUAACACAUGCAAGUCGAACGGAAAGGCCCUGCUUUUGUGGGGUGCUCGAGUGGCGAACGGGUGAGUAACACGUGAGUAACCUGCCCUUGACUUUGGGAUAACUUCAGGAAACUGGGGCUAAUACCGGAUAGGAGCUCCUGCUGCAUGGUGGGGGUUGGAAAGUUUCGGCGGGUGGGGAUGGACUCGCGGCUUAUCAGCUUGUUGGUUGGGUAGUGGCUUACCAAGGCUUUGACGGGUAGCCGGCCUGAGAGGGUGACCGGCCACAUUGGGACUGAGAUACGGCCCAGACUCCUACGGGGGGCAGCAGUGGGGAAUAUUGCACAAUGGGCGGAAGCCUGAUGCAGCAACGCCGCGUGCGGGAUGACGGCCUUCGGGUUGUAAACCGCUUUCGCCUGUGACGAAGCGUGAGUGACGGUAAUGGGUAAAGAAGCACCGGCUAACUACGUG